rnacentral:rRNA from 1 species
CCUACGGGCGGCAGCAGUGGGGAAUAUUGGACAAUGGGGGCAACCCUGAUCCAGCCAUGCCGCGUGUGUGAAGAAGGCCCUCGGGUUGUAAAACACUUUCAGUGAGGAAGAACGCCUGGUGGUUAAUACCCAUCAGGAAAGACAUCACUCACAGAAGAAGCACCGGCUAACUCCGUGCCAGCAGCCGCGGUAAUACGGAGGGUGCGAGCGUUAAUCGGAAUUACUGGGCGUAAAGCGCGCGUAGGUGGCUUGAUAAGCCGGUUGUGAAAGCCCCGGGCUCAACCUGGGAACGGCAUCCGGAACUGUCAAGCUAGAGUGCAGGAGAGGAAGGUAGAAUUCCCGGUGUAGCGGUGAAAUGCGUAGAGAUCGGGAGGAAUACCAGUGGCGAAGGCGGCCUUCUGGACUGACACUGACACUGAGGUGCGAAAGCGUGGGUAGCAAACAGGAUUAGAUACCCUGGUAGUC